GUGGGGAAUCUUGCGCAAUGGGCGAAAGCCUGACGCAGCCAUGCCGCGUGAAUGAUGAAGGUCUUAGGAUUGUAAAAUUCUUUCACCGGGGACGAUAAUGACGGUACCCGGAGAAGAAGCCCCGGCUAACUUCGUGCCAGCAGCCGCGGUAAUACGAAGGGGGCUAGCGUUGCUCGGAAUUACUGGGCGUACAGGGCGCGUAGGCGGACAGUUUAGUCAGAGGUGAAAGCCCAGGGCUCAACCUUGGAAUUGCCUUUGAUACUGGCUGUCUUGAGUACGGGAGAGGUGAGUGGAACUCCGAGUGUAGAGGUGAAAUUCGUAGAUAUUCGGAAGAACACCAGUGGCGAAGGCGACUCACUGGCCCGUUACUGACGCUGAGGCGCGAAAGCGUGGGGAGCAAACAGGAUUAGAAACCCCAGUAGUCC
rnacentral:rRNA from 1 species